rnacentral:rRNA from 1 species
GGGAUUGCCCUAGUAACGGCGAGUGAAGCGGCAACAGCUCAAAUUUGAAAUCUGGCUUCGGCCCGAAUUGUAAUUGGCAGAGGAUGCAUCGGGAGUGGCCCCGUUCCAAGUCCGCUGGAACGCGGCGUCCUAGAGGGUGAGAAUCCCGUUCGAGCGGUGUCCGCUCCCAUGUGAUGCUCCUUCGACGAGUCGAGUUGUUUGGGAAUGCAGCUCUAAAUGGGUGGUAUAUUUCAUCUAAAGCUAAAUACCGGCCAGAGACCGAUAGCGCACAAGUAGAGUGAUCGAAAGAUGAAAAGCACUUUGGAAAGGGAGUUAAAAAGUACGUGAAAUUGUUGAAAGGGAAGCGCUUGCAGCCAGACUCGCUCGGGGUGCUCAGCUGUCCUUCGGGGCAGUGUAUUCACCUUCGGGCGGGCCAGCAUCGGUUCGGGCGGCCGGACAAAGGCCCUGGGAACGUAGCUCUUCGGAGUGUUAUAGCCCGGGGUGUCAUGCGGCCAGCCUGGACCGAGGACCGCGCUUCGGCAAGGAUGCUGGCGUAAUGGCUGUCAGCGA